rnacentral:lncRNA from 1 species
AUUCAUUAUAUGUUGCAUUUCUUAGAUCAAUAAAAUUUUGUAUAAUUUUUGGGUUUAAAUUUGUUAAAGAUUUAUGAUCUAUAUUUCUUUGGGGACCUAAUCGAAGAUUUUUAUACAUUGUAAUGGCUUUGGUUCCAAAUUCUCUAUGAAGGGUAUUUUUGGAAAAAUUAUUUUUCAAAGGUUAUUCUUCAAAUGAUUAUAUUUUUUGGUCUAAUCUCACAAUUUGCUAUUCUAUUUAGGCUGUUAGCAGGUAUUUCCUCUGGUUCAACAACGUUUUAUGUUGUGCACUAUUAAAACCCUUGAAAUCAAAUGCGUGCAUCUGUUCCCACGUAUUUCAAAAUUAUUUAGGGGCCUCAAAAAGUAAUGGAGAAUGUAAAAGUUUCUCAUUUUUUUAAAAUUUUUUUUUUUGGGUUUAGGUGUUGACGUGUUGUUCUAUUUUGUUUCAAUUGUUUGGCUAUUUUGAUUUUGUUCGAUUUUGUUUUGCCCUUGCUACUCAAAGUCUGCCUAUUUUGUUUUGAUUUUGUUCUAUUUUGGAGUUAUUGAUGUUGAUUGUUGAGCAUUUGAAAAUUUUAAUAUUAAUUAUGUUAUUAUUUAUUCAUUUGGGAAUUUAUGUUUGCGAAUUGCGAAUUGCGAAUUG